AACUCCACAUAACAAGUAAGGAAAAAGACUUGAGCAAAGACUUUUAGUCUUCCCCUUCAUUUCUAUGCCUUAAGUAAACUGGAAAAAGACUUAAAGCAAAGACUUUGAUCUUGUCUGCAGCGGCUUUUCUUAGUGCAAGGUUGGGUUGGCAUCCCGCUCAAUCCAGUUUGAAGUCAUCUGAACCUGAUACUUUGCUCCAGAUUUCACUCGGCUUCUACUUCAAACUCAUCAUCCUCCAUAGUUCACAUUCAUAUAGUGGGACUUUCCAAACAAAGAAUUACCUCUUAUCCAAUUGGUCUUAUUUUAAUUUGACGUGAAGAAUAGAAUGUCUUUCAACAACAGGGAAGGGGGAAAGAAUAAGUUUCUGUACAGGGACAACAUGGGAAUCAAGAAGAAAAGCCGAAGAGAGACAAAGCUAAUUGACAUGGAGAGCAUUCAGGGUGGUGAAAGAUCUCUUGCUCAUGCAACUGCUUCUACCAAACAUAGUCUUCCAUCAAUGGAAGAGGAAGUAGUUGGUUUU